rnacentral:SRP_RNA from 1 species
CCCGUUUCACUUUUCUGAGUGUAGCGCGGUGAAAGCUGGGCUUCACGGGCCAUGAUGUGGAAGGCACUGCGCGAGGCUGGUUUCACAGAGCAGCGAUCACUGCCCGCUUCCAACGGUGGAAGGAUAA